rnacentral:rRNA from 1 species
UACAGAGGUCCCAAGCGUUGUUCGGAUUCACUGGGCGUAAAGGGUGCGUAGGCGGCCGGGUAAGUCUGAUGUGAAAUCCCGCAGCUCAACUGCGGAACUGCAUCGGAUACUCUCCGGCUAGAGGAAUGGAGGGGAGACUGGAAUUCCCGGUGUAGAGGUGAAAUUCGUAGAUAUCGGGAGGAACACCAGUGGCGAAGGCGGCGAUCUGGGAAGAUACUGACGCUGAGGUGCGAAAGCGUGGGGAGCAAACAGG